AGACUAGUAAAAACUGUUCAAAUAUUUUAAAAAGAUGAAUGGGAUAAAAAUUGCGAGCAACUUCUCUAUUUUUUAAAAGUGAAGACAAUUUGUAAUUCUAGUAUUGGCACGUAAAGUCGGCGGACAAUUUGUCUUCGAGGGCCUCAUAAAAUGAUGUGGAGGGCCAUAUCUGGACCCCGGGCCUCGAGUUUGGCAUCAAGGGGAAAUUGCACAAGCAGGACGCUUUUCAACUAUGUAGAGUAACAUAUUCAGGUUGUCCUUUAUUGAGCUCUAAAUGAAACAAUAAAACAAUAAAAAAAAAGAAAAAUUGGGGCAAUUCUGUGGCACUUGCACGUAGCUUGUUUGACUGUUAAAGUAUCAUGAGCACACAUGUUUUUCUGGUUCCUGUUUCACAUGCGCAGGUGGAUUCCCAGAGGUGCAGCCAGAAGAUAUGUUUGGAAAGCGAGAAAGCGCCACUUGACUGCACGCACAUUUCUGCCUUUGCAUAUCCGGCCGCAGCCAUGGCAAGACCAUAGAAACAAACUGGACUGAACCGUUUCAAAAUGUGUAUUUUAUUUAGGGCCACUUGUGCACUUUGCCAACUGGCUUCAGAGUUCAUGUUUCACUUGCCACUCGUUUUCUCACCAGCACACUUGUGUCUCUUAACUCGGUCCUUACGAGAGAAUCUUUUAUCACACAGGCUGCAACUGAAUGGUUUUUCACCAGUGUGUAUUCUGGUGUGUUUCUCUAAUAUGCAUCUUUGCGUGAAACUUUUACCGCAAACUGAGCAAGCAAACAGUUUCUCCCCAGUGUGUGUUCUUGUGUGUCGAACUAAUCCUGUGCGAUCGAUGAAAGUUAAAUCGCAGACUGUGCAAGCAAAAGGUUUCUCUCCAGUGUGUGUUCUAGUGUGCCUUAUCAAGCACGUCUUCACAUGGAAUCUUUUACCACAAACUGAGCAGGCAAAAGGUUUCUCACCAUCGUGUGUUCUUGCGUGCCUUAUUAAACAUGUUUUCACAGUGAAACUUUUACCACAAACUGGGCAGACAAAUGGCUUCUCCCCAGUGUGUGUUCUUGUGUGUAUUCUUAGACUUCCCUUCAAAGAAAAAGCUUUGCC